rnacentral:lncRNA from 1 species
GGAGGGUAGUGAACUUGCUUUAAUUACAAGUUUGCCACUCCAAUGAAGAAAGGUAUAAAUAUGACUUUAUAGCCAAAAUUCAUUUAGGGUUUUUCUUUUGGGGAAAGGAUGAGAACACAAGCUCUCUUUUCUCUCUAAAGAGGCCAGCCACCCUAGAGGAAAAUAGCUAGCAAUCUUACUUCCUCUAGGUCACUCAUUUCUUCUUAAAAUCUUACCUUGGUGUGGAGACUUAGAGGUUCUCAAUUUUGAGAACUUGGAGAAACCUAUUCUUCCAUCCAAAUCCAUGGAUCUAAGAAGCAAGGAAUGAAGGCCCUAUCUCUUGGGUGAUUAUCCUUUGCUUUUGCAAAGAGGAAUCUACAAAGGUAUAAUUUCUCAACUCACUUUGUUUUUGAGUUGAGUCUUGGUUCACCUAACUACUAGGCUUUGAAUUUAAUGGGUAAUGUUUUGUUUUGAGUGCAUGCAAGCAUGAUUCCGCCUUUAAUUUGUUACUUGCAUGCUAUAGAUGUUGCUCAAAUGAACAUGCUUUUCACAAAAUUUCCUUCAAUCCAUUCAUCCAUUCAUUUCCCAUAUAUCUCAAAACACAACUCGAUACUCUCCCUUCCCUUGGCCGAGACAAUACACCCUUCAUCCAAACACAUCCAUUUAUCUUCACAUCCAUUCCUCCACACAACCAACCCUUCAAACACUCAUCAACACCUUGUGCCGUAGCAAAGGAAAGGAAGGAAAGUGCUUGGACGUGCUUGUUGUCCAACUUGGAUCGUUGGAGCGUUUAGGUGUUUUCUUUCUUUUGUUUCAAUGUCUAAAUUUGUUUAUCUUUGCUUUGUAAGUAUGAGGAACUAAACCCCUAUUAGCUAGGGGGGAAUUCGAAACCAUGUUCAUGCUUGCAAUAUGAUUUGAUUACCUUCAGUUGUGAUUUCAUAAGUUGUGAAUUCAAUUUGUUUAAAAUCUUGAUUGAUAACUUAUUCGUGUAUGUUUAUUAAGAGUGCACACUUAGUUUGCAUGCAUGAAUAUGAUGCUGGAGUAUAAGGGAGUUUCACUUAAAAGUUACAAACUUAUAUUCACAAGUAGUGGAGGUCGCUUUUAAACGAUCGCGUUAAAUGAAUUCUCGGCAGGAGUUUCAUGCUCAUCAUAGUAACAAAUGCCUCGUCAAUACUUAUAGUUUUCAUAAUGCUUAAUGAUCUUUGAUUGUGUCUUUAUUGUGUUGUUCACGUAAAGGACUUUUGAAGAAUGCUUGAAUUGUUGUAUGCGCUUUCCCAUCCA